AAAUGUACUUUGACACCCCGAAAGGAGGAUUCGAAUCAGGAAGUACGCCCUUUUUCGACGCUCUACUUAUGUUAGAAUAAUAGUAUAGUGAGUAAAUGGUUUUGGUAAUUCUCUGUAUGGUAGUAAGACUUGCCAUAAUAGUAUGUAUACAAUUUAAUUACUAUUCAUGAGUUACUUAUUUAUAAUACAAGACCGGUGUUGAUUUUAAGAGGGUAAUACAAUUAGGGAAAUUGAUCUACCUCUUGACAUUUUUU